GGUUGGUCCGAGAGUAGUGGU
rnacentral:piRNA from 1 species